GCAUCGAUAGGCCAGUGGUAGACUGCAAGCUUCCCAUGCUUGCGCCCCGGGUUCGAUUCCCGGUCGAUGCA